rnacentral:rRNA from 1 species
GAUGAACGCUGGCGGCGUGCCUAACACAUGCAAGUCGAGCGAAGCGCUUAAAUUAGAUUUCUUCGGAAUGACGAUUUUUGUGACUGAGCGGCGGACGGGUGAGUAACGCGUGGGUAACCUGCCUCAUACAGGGGGAUAACAGUUAGAAAUGACUGCUAAUACCGCAUAAGACCCCAGCUUCGCAUGAAUCGGUGGUAAAAACUCCGGUGGUAUGAGAUGGACCCGCGUCUGAUUAGCUAGUUGGUAAGGUACCGGCUUACCAAGGCGACGAUCAGUAGCCGAGCUGAGGGGGUGACCGGACACAGUGGGACUGAGACACGGCCCAGACUCCUACGGGAGGCAGCAGUGGGGAAUAUAGCAAAAUGGGGGAAACCAUGAUGCAGCGACGCCGCGUGAAGGAUGAAGUAUUUCGGUAUGUAAACUUCGAUCAGCAGGGAAGAAAGUGACGGUACCUGAAGAAGAAGCCCCGGCUAACUACGUG